GACGAACCGUGCGAACGUUAUUCGGAAUCACUGGGCUUAAAGCGCGUGUAGGCGGCCCGGCACGUCCGUCGCUGAAAUCCCCCGGCUCAACCGGGGAAGGGGCGCGGAUACGACCGGGCUGGAGGGGGGUAGGGGGCGCCGGAACUCACGGUGGAGCGGUGAAAUGCGUUGAGAUCGUGAGGAACGCCGUGGCGAAAGCGGGCGCCUGGACCC
rnacentral:rRNA from 1 species